UACGUAGGGUGCGAGCGUUGUCCGGAAUUAUUGGGCGUAAAGGGCUCGUAGGCGGUUUGUCGCGUCGGGAGUGAAAUCCACUGGCUUAACUGGUGGCUUGCUUUCGAUACGGGCAGACUGGAGGUAUGCAGGGGAGGACGGAAUUCCUGGUGUAGCGGUGAAAUGCGCAGAUAUCAGGAGGAACACCGGUGGCGAAGGCGGUGGUCUGGGCCGGCACUGACGCUGUAGAGCGAAAGCGUGGGGAGCGAACAGG
rnacentral:rRNA from 1 species